UGUAAUACCUACACCAGCAGCAUUGCCAUUAUCUGGAAACUUGUGGGAAGUGCAGAUUCUUAAGUCUACCUCACACUUACUGACUCUGAGAUUCUGGGAAUAAAUCUGCAUUUUAUAACAGUCUUCCAUAUAUUUCUUAUGUGCUCUGAGAACCAGUGAGCCACUGAACUAGAUGAAAGAACUGCAUGGAAAAAUAAUAGGUUUAUACAGACUGCUGUUUCGUAAAUGUUCAAAGAACUUCCUCCAGCUAGAAGCAGAAGAGAAGAGGCAGAGGGGCAAACAGAAGGAUUCAAAAUAUAAGAAAGACUGAAUGCUCUGUUGGUUUGACAAUGGAGGAGCCACUUCAGAAGAAAUGCAGGUGUCAUUAAGGAGCAGAGAGAUUACCAGCUGACAGUAAGUAUAUGGGAAUCUUAGACUUACAAAUACACAAAACUUAAUUUUGCCAACAAUUCAAAUGAUCUUGUAAGUGGAUUCUACCUGAUAGUCUCCAAAAAAGAGCCCAGGAGAGCUGACUUUGAUUUUAGCCUUUUGGGCAAAUAAAUCAAGUCCAUCUGGUUCUAUCUUCACUUCUGUGAGGUAAUAAAUAAAUAUUUUAAGUUGCAAAUUUGCAUUGAUUUUGUUUAAGAAAUAAAUAGUACAUUAGUAUAAAUACCUAUAGAGCAAAAGACGAGACAAAACUUAUUUUGUCAGAAUAUUGAGAAAUGUCCACCAAACACAUGAUUAACUAACUAGAUGAAGAGGAGAAAAAAAAAAUGGUAGCAAACACAGAAGCCUGCUAUACUGAGAGAAAGCAAGAUGUUGCAAUAUCUAGUGCCCUUCCAUCCCCAUAGUCACCACAUGGGUUUAAAAGAUUUGGCUCUAUAAGAAAUAGACAACCAAGUAGUGUUAUUCUUGCCUAAAUUCAAUCAGAGUAUAUUGCCAAAUCACAGAGUUUCUAAAUCAAGUAGAAGUUUGCAAAUAUGAAUAAGUGGCAGAUUCUUCCUGAUAGGGCCACAUUGUAUUAGGUUGGUUCAAAAGUAAUUGUCACUAAAAGUAAUGGCAAAAAACACAAUUACUUCUGCAGCAACCUGACAUCUUGAGGUGGCAGUGUGCUCAAAAAUUUGUAGUAGCAAAUUCAAAUAGAAAAUUCCAAAGAAAAAAAAUGCAAAGAUGAAAUAAACAUAAAAAUAGCUCUAAAACAAAACUCUGUUAGCAAGGCAUUUUUAGAACAUAACUUUUUGUGUACUUGUUUCAGCUUGACAGAGGACUAUUUUAGUGGGUAGAAUACGCUGCCCCAAAACUUAAUACCUGCUAUGUUCAUGGAAUUUAGUUUUUAAUUAGAUCUAAACGUUGUAUAUAACCACUAUUUAAUUAAUGAGUCAAGUAAAAGGCCAUAAAAACCCUAUUAUAAAAGAUCUCUAUACAUUUAUAAAUUGUGUGUGUCUGUGUGUGUAUGUAUUUAGAGAGACAGCAAACAGUCUAGCAAACAAAAAAAUGCUGAAAUUGAAGACACUUUUAGAAGAAAACUGCUUAGAUUCUGGUGGAGGAUGCACAAAUAAAUGGCUCUUUGUAGGAAAAAAAAUUCACUUGAACAAAAGAGAGACAAGGGAAAAACGAAUAAUGAAUGCAACAAAUUGAAAAUGUCUAAAUAAAAUUAAUAUAAAAUAUGGCAAAAUGUUCUAUAUAAAUAAUGGAAGACAUAUUUAUUAAUGUGGAGAAUAAAUUUCUUAAGCUUUUUUCUUAAUUAAGGGAAAAAAACCAGAAGUGAUUGGAAUGUUAAUAGUUUUAGCUAUGGAAAACUAUGAAUCUUAACUAUGAAUAACAGAAGAUAAAUAGAAGAAAAACAUUAUAAAAGACAAAUUGAGUUAAAGUAUGUUCUGAGUAAAAAUUACACAAAGCAAGUCAAAAGGAAUUCUAUUUAUUCCAAGGAUAAAGGAAUAGUCUAGAACAUUCAAUUAGGAAAAUGAAAUGUCUAAUAUGGUAAAAAUAAAGUUUUUCUUUGCAGAUGUAAAUGGAAGAUGAAAAGAAAACAAUUAUGAUAAUUUGAAAAUGACACAUUUAUGUUUAGCUUCAAGACAGAGUAGAGAUUUAAAGUAAAUUGUAGUAUUUUAUACUUUUAAAAUAGAAGAUAAUAUUAUAUAUGCAUCAGAAUAUUUUCAGACCUCCAUUUGAUAAUCUGUAAUCCAAAACAAAAAUACACCAAGGAGCUGUAUUAAUUAAAGGUCCUCACUAAAGCUAUGUUUAUAUAUUUCCAAAACUAUUCAAACACAACAAUUUUUAAGUGGAAAUGUCUAUUUUUUCUUUUCUUUACUUAAAUUUGAAAACUUAAUUUUUUUCUCCAUAAAAAUGAACAUUUAUUAACAUUAUAGAAACUUGAUUAUUGUGUUACACUUUCCUUUUGACUCUUUAUGACAUGUCUGCUACAUGGUCUAUGUGGCAUAAGUUUGGUGUGACAGGUAUGAUACACAGGUCGCAUAAUUGGUCCAUAUGAGGAAAUCAAAAAUUAGUUUAUUGACCUUGGUAAUUUGAUUUUACUGCCAUGUUAAAUAGGUAACCAAAAAAAAAAUUGCCAAAUCCUAUCUGACUUCAUAAAGAUUCAUUUUGAAUUCUCUUGUCAGAGUAAAGAACAUUAUUUAUUCUAAUUUAGCCAAUAGCUAAUGUAUGAAAUGAAUACUAGAAAUAUUUACUAUGUUUAUGGAAGUAAGGGAAGGUUAUUCAGAUUUUUAAAAAAUGCCAUUCGACAGAAUGUUAUCACCAGUGAUUGUAUUUGAAAAAUAUACUGCAUCUAAAGAUACAUUUGAGGUCGAAUAUGUUGAGAAUUUACAAGUGAAACAAAUAAAUGCAAUCUAUACAGUGUGGUGCAACGCAAGCGGAGUCAGGGUUUUGUGAACCCUGAGAGAAAGAAAGAUGAAGAGACAGCUGCUAUCCCUUCCCUGGUGACAUUCCAGUGCCUCGUCUUUCCCACUGCGAGCCUGGAAUAGGGAGAUGGUGCUGUAUCUGUAACAUGAAAAUCAUAUAUUUUAAAAUCACGUAAGUCAUGUCACAUCAUGCCUUUAUUAGACAGAUAUUCUUAUUGAAAGAAAUUUACACAACGGGUAUAAAAUGAUAACGAGAUUUAUUUUCUUACAUAUAUAUUUUAAAUUUUUCUACAUCACUAAACGUAAUAUAUAUGAAAUUACAUUACCAAGCAAUAGGCUUAUAUUGUCUAUCAUAGCCAUACCGCAGCCACUACCACUACCACUUUUGGCCACAUACACUGUGGUAAGUCCAAUAUGAGUUGUAUCAUAACUAUAAAAUACACAGUGAAUUUCAAAUUAUUUGUGUGAUAAAAAUAAUGUAGAAAAUGUAUAUAUUACAUACAUAUAUAUGUACAUAUACAUAAUAAAAUGAUGUAGAUGUAGAUACCAAAAGCCAUUCAGUCUUUUAUCACUGAACAUGAUGUUAGCUCUAGGUAUAAAGUUGUUGCCCUUUAUCAACUUAAGGAAAUCAAUUUAUAUUGCUACAUUGAUCAUUUUUAAAAUAAAACAUUUACUAGAUUUUGUCAAGUGCUUUUUUUAAAUCUAUUGAGACAGUCAUAUGUUUACUUGUUUGUUUGUUUGUUUUUAGUCUAUAAUAUGUUGAAAACCCUCGAUUUGUAUUCAAAUGUUAAACCACUCCUUCAUUUCUUGGGUGAACUCU